rnacentral:rRNA from 1 species
UGAGCCAAGUUUAGGGUUUUCUCAAAACCCAAGCAGUAUUGAACUGAAGAGUUUGAUCAUGGCUCAGAUUGAACGCUGGCGGCAGGCCUAACACAUGCAAGUCGAGCGGAUGAAGGGAGCUUGCUCCUGGAUUCAGCGGCGGACGGGUGAGUAAUGCCUAGGAAUCUGCCUGGUAGUGGGGGAUAACGUCCGGAA